AUUGAACGCUGGCGGCAGGCUUAACACAUGCAAGUCGAGCGGGGAAAGGUAGCUUGCUACCUGACCUAGCGGCGGACGGGUGAGUAAUGCUUAGGAAUCUGCCUAUUAGUGGGGGACAACAUUCCGAAAGGAAUGCUAAUACCGCAUACGCCCUACGGGGGAAAGCAGGGGGUCUUCGGACCUUGCGCUAAUAGAUGAGCCUAAGUCAGAUUAGCUAGUUGGUGGGGUAAAGGCCUACCAAGGCGACGAUCUGUAGCGGGUCUGAGAGGAUGAUCCGCCACACUGGGACUGAGACACGGCCCAGACUCCUACGGGAGGCAGCAGUGGGGAAUAUUGGACAAUGGGCGAAAGCCUGAUCCAGCCAUGCCGCGUGUGUGAAGAAGGCCUUUUGGUUGUAAAGCACUUUAAGCGAGGAGGAGGCUACCGAGAUUAAUACUCUUGGAUAGUGGACGUUACUCGCAGAAUAAGCACCGGCUAACUCUGUGCCAGCAGCCGCAGUAA
rnacentral:rRNA from 1 species